rnacentral:tRNA from 1 species
UACCCGGUAGUGUAACGGUAGCACGACAGUUUUUGGUACUGUUUGUCCAAGUUCGAAUCUUGGCCGGGUAA